rnacentral:rRNA from 1 species
CAUAGCAGCCAUACCACCAUGCAGCUCUCAACUGGCUACCCACUGAAGCAAGGCAGGGUUGAUCCUGGACAGUACCAGGAUGGGAGACCUCCUGGGAAGCUAUGGUUGCUGCUGGAA